UGAGGAAUAUUGGUCAAUGGACGCAAGUCUGAACCAGCCAAGUAGCGUGCAGGAUGACGGCCCUAUGGGUUGUAAACUGCUUUUAUAUGGGGAUAAAGUGGGGAACGUGUUCCCUUUUGCAGGUACCAUAUGAAUAAGGACCGGCUAAUUCCGUGCCAGCAGCCGCGGUAAUACGGAAGGUUCGGGCGUUAUCCGGAUUUAUUGGGUUUAAAGGGAGCGUAGGCCGUUUGGUAAGCGUGUUGUGAAAUGUAGGAGCUCAACUUCUAGAUUGCAGCGCGAACUGUCAGACUUGAGUGCGCACAACGUAGGCGGAAUUCAUGGUGUAGCGGUGAAAUGAUUAGAUAUCAUGACGAACUCCGAUUGCGCAGGCAGCUUACUGUAGCAUAACUGACGCUGAUGCUCGAAAGUGCGGGUAUCAAACAGG
rnacentral:rRNA from 1 species